rnacentral:rRNA from 1 species
UACGUAGGGUGCGAGCGUUGUCCGGAUUUAUUGGGCGUAAAGGGCUCGUAGGCGGCCUGUCGCGUCGGGAGUGAAAGCCCACUGCUUAACGGGUGGGUCUGCUUUCGGUACGGGCGGGCUAGAGUAUGGCAGGGGAGACUGGAAUUCCUGGUGUAGCGGUGGAAUGCGCAGAUAUCAGGAGGAACACCGGUGGCGAAGGCGGGUCUCUGGGCCAUUACUGACGCUGAGGAGCGAAAGCGUGGGGAGCGAACAGG